ACGAACGCUGGCGGCGUGGUUAACACAUGCAAGUCGAACGGAAAGGCCCUGCUUUUGUGGGGUGCUCGAGUGGCGAACGGGUGAGUAACACGUGAGUAACCUGCCCUUGACUUUGGGAUAACUUCAGGAAACUGGGGCUAAUACCGGAUAGGAGCUCCUGCUGCAUGGUGGGGGUUGGAAAGUUUCGGCGGUUGGGGAUGGACUCGCGGCUUAUCAGCUUGUUGGUGGGGUAGUGGCUUACCAAGGCUUUGACGGGUAGCCGGCCUGAGAGGGUGACCGGCCACAUUGGGACUGAGAUACGGCCCAGACUCCUACGGGAGGCAGCAGUGGGGAAUAUUGCACAAUGGGCGGAAGCCUGAUGCAGCAACGCCGCGUGCGGGAUGACGGCCUUCGGGUUGUAAACCGCUUUCGCCUGUGACGAAGCGUGAGUGACGGUAAUGGGUAAAGAAGCACCGGCUAACUACGUG
rnacentral:rRNA from 1 species